GGAUAAGUGGCGGAAUUGGUAGACGCUUAGUUUGAUAAUACGGCUGACUAGCCUCGAAGCAAGAAAGACGAUCGGGGAAGUCAGAACCACAAUUGAAACGUACAAACGAAAUCUUGCAAAUCCCGGUUCAACUCCGGGCUUAUCCA
rnacentral:tRNA from 1 species